rnacentral:lncRNA from 10 species
UCUAUGUACAAUUUGAAACAAAUAUGCCAGCAUUAUACUGAGAAAAACCCCAGAUCCAUUGUGCCACUAUUUGACAGGAACAAAAGAACCAGUGAACCAUAUAUUCCAUACAUUCCUAUUGUUUUCAACUACCAACAUUAAUACUUCACCAGUUGGGAAAAAUACUACUUAUUAAAAGCUGCUAACAAAUUAUUAUUUGUAAAUGAUCUAAUUUACACCACAUUUAACUUAUUUUGUUAUCUGAACAAAAAUAUAAACACUGUCCUAGUACAAAUUACAUAUGUGGCAAGCUUGUUUUGAGUGCAGUCCUAUGGUGCAGAACCACAUUUAACAGAGUAAAAAUUACAAGAGACCGGAGCUCAGUGUAAGCAAAAAAUAAUUAAGAGCAUUUUAAUUGUGGGUUCACAAUGAUAGGAAAAUCAAAUACAGGAGACCUUUAGGGCAGAGGAGAAUUACCACUUAGCAGAAAUGUUGUAAAAUAAUUCUAGGCAUAAGUCUUUCCCAAAUCCAAGAAUCCAUGAUUCUAUGACACCCAUCUCCUGGGAAUCGAUGGCUCACAAUUCACUUUAAAAUCUAAUUACGCUAUUCUGGUUCGGCUAUAUAAACUUCACAAACCUUUCAAGCCAAGGAAUAAUUUCAAAAAUAAAACUGCUUUUUAAAGAAAGUAUCGGCGAAUCUUAAUUUCCUAUUCCUGAAGAAAUAACCAUAAGACAGAAAUUUCUCAACUGCAGCACUACAAAUAUCUUUGACCAAAUAAUUGUUUGUGAAGGCUGUUCUAUGCACUGACGAUGUUUAGCAGCGUCACUGACCUUUACCCUCUAGAUCCAACAGCCAAAAGUUUCCUGACUUGCCAAAUGUCCCCUGGUAAGCAAAAUCACCCCUUCUGGUGAGAACUACUGAUGCUAACUUUUUUCUUUCUUUUUAGGCACAGACAACUUAUUACCUUUGGCUGGUUCUAUUUAUAAUCUACUUACAAAAGAGAACUAUGUAGGAGUCAAACUUACGCUUUUCAGGCUUUGUACCUGCAGAUGUUGGUCCAGACACUUACUUGUAAAAUUAGUUUCUUCUAAGAAUUAAAUGAGAUAAAGCAUGUAAAAAGUUUAGCACCUGACAAAUUAAAGUUACUAUUUGGUGCUAAUUUUAUACUUCAUUCUGCGUAGAGAAGCAGUACACGUCGUAUCAUUCUGCGGUACUCUCAAAUGGGAAACUAGUAGGCUAUGUACCUUGAAUAAACUGUUUUUGAUGAAAAUUUCCAUCUACCUGAGGGAACCUAGAAAACUUUUUCAAAUCAAACGGUUUUCUCUUUGUCUCUCUCAAUUAUAAAAUAUAAAGAGUCUCCAAAUCUGCUCUCCUGAUUCCAUCACCCAACAUUUCAGCGGGAAAAACCAGAUAGGUUGGUGGUUGAAAUCCCGAAUAUAUAGAAUCCCCCAAAAGAAAAUUCAUUUAAUACCAGAGGUUUAUUUGUCCAUAUGAGGGACAUAAAAAAAAUACCAGAGGUGGGCUCCCCAGUUCUUCUUCCAAAUACAAUUCACUUUGACUUACAUACAAAAUCCCGGGGGGGAUUUUACAACUUAAUUUGACCCUAAGUAACUGCUCUUCCUCCCUUCAAAAACAAUCUGCUCCUCCUUCCCAUAUCUCACUUAAAUGUGGGCGUCUCCAUCCUUCCAAACACACAGACUAGAAAGUCUUGAGUUGUUCCCUAUUCUUUAUUUCCCUCUUCGCACAGUAAGUCACCAAAUUCUGUGGACAGUUCUUUGGAAAGGUCUCAAAUCUCUACCUCUUUCCCUUCCAUAUCACUGUCAAAAUGAUGCCUCUACAAGUCUGAGCCUGUCAAUGCUUAGUUUAAAAUUCUCUAUUUACUCUAGCCUGAUUACAGCAAACUCCGUCCAAACAGCCCAAUAUAACCUAAAGGUAGUAUUAUGACCUAAAGCUCAUUGUACUGUGAAACCAACCUAGCUUUCCAGUUCUGUCUUCCUCAACUCUACUUCACCCCCAGCAUCUUUCUUCUAACAUCCCCUUUUCAUACUUCUGUGAACCACUUAUACUCCAGAAGCCUUAAUGUGAAUUAUUAGCCCAGCAUGAACCCAGUUAGAUAGCACAAUGAACGUGUCAAGGUGGCCCUGGGAAUCGCAAAAAGUAUUCAAUUAAACUUAAUUCACACUCCUGUGUGCAAAAUGGAGAAACCCAGGGAAACAGCUGUUCGAAGAGGGGGCCUUAAACCCACCCAUUUGAGCUCGCCCUCCGAGAGCGAGUAGGCUCGGCACGUGAACUGUCAAAAGCGAGGCCACAACCGACCUGGAAGCCGAGGAACAGGGUCAGCUUUCUGCACCCAGCCCUGUCAGGUACCAAACCCAACUGUCUUGAAUCAGAGACGAACAGGACCAAAGGAGGUGAGUUUCAACACCCAAACUAAGAAGCCGAAGGAGGCGCAGGGUCCGUUAACCCUGCCCAUCUCCACGCUCCUUGGAAAACGAAAACAAACUCUGGUUUCUCUUCAGCGUUCACCUCUCUGCGCCCAAACGGAUCUGUAAGUCCAACUCUAUACCUUAAUCAUCAACCUUUCCCACUUGAACCCCG